CGAUAGGCUCCAGGUUUCCCGUGACCCUGAAAAGGAUAAGCGGUAUAGAAGAUGGAUGGUUGGAUGUUGUAGGGUUCUGCACCACACCUUUAAGGGUUCAUCCAGUGGAAAAGAAAGAAAGAAAUAAAACGUCCUAGCUUUAUUUCUUAUAUUGGAUAAUUAAAGCAUAUCGUCUAUGAACUGAAUCAUAUCGGUGCUGAACUGAAUCAUAUUGGUGCUGAGCUGAAUCAUAUAGGUGCUGAGCUGAAUCAUAUCGGUGCUGAACUGAAUCAUAUAGGUUCUGAGCUGAAUCAUAUAGGUGCUGAGCUGAAUCAAAUCGGUGCUGAACUGAAUCAUAUAGGUGCUGAACUGAAUCAUAUUGGUGCUGAACUGAAUCAUAUCGGUGCUAAACUGAAUCAUAUCGGUGCUGAACUGAAUCAUAUAGGUGCUAAACUGGGUCAUAUAGGUGCUAAACUGAAUCAUAUCGGUGCUGAACUGAAUCAUAUAGGUGCUAAACUGAAUCAUAUAGGUGCUGAACUGAAUCAUAUAGGUGCUGAAAUUAACCAUAAUGCUGCUAAACGGAAUCACCUUUUAGAAUUAAUUCCUAAUCCUGUUGGACUUAAUUGACUUGCUGAGUUAAUUCAACACUGGGAUUAUCGGAAGUGAUCGAAUGAUAAGCCUCAGUAUUGACUUUAUUUACUGUGUGUUCUUCUACUGAUAAAAACCAACAGCAACGCAAGUAAAUACAGAUGCUGAGUUUUUCCACCUGGAGCCUGGGGUAUAGAUUAAACUUAAUGAACCCUUU
ensembl:lncRNA